rnacentral:rRNA from 1 species
GAUGAACGCUGGCGGCGUGCUUAACACAUGAAAGUCGAACGAGAGAAGAUCGGUGCUUGCACUGAUCCGAUCGAGUGGCGGACGGGUGAGUAACGCGUGGGUAACCUGCCUCAUACAGGGGAAUAACAGUUGGAAACGGCUGAUAAAACCGCAUAAGCGCACAGUAUCGCAUGAUACAGUGUGAAAAACUCCGGUGGUAUGAGCUGGACCCGCGUCUGAUUAGCUAGUUGGUGAGGUAACGGCCCACCAAGGCAACGAUCAGUAGCCGGCCUGAGAGGGUGAACGGCCACAUUGGGACUGAGACACGGCCCAAACUCCUACGGGAGGCAGCAGUGGGGAAUAUUGCACAAUGGGGGAAACCCUGAUGCAGCGACGCCGCGUGGGUGAUGAAGUAUUUCGGUAUGUAAAGCUCUAUCAGCAGGGAAGAUAAUGACGGUACCUGACUAAGAAGCACCGGCUGAAUACGUGCCAGCCGCCGCCGUAA